rnacentral:rRNA from 1 species
UACGUAGGUGGCGAGCGUUGUCCGGAUUUACUGGGCGUAAAGGGAGCGUAGGCGGACUUUUAAGUGAGAUGUGAAAUACCCGGGCUCAACUUGGGUGCUGCAUUUCAAACUGGAAGUCUAGAGUGCAGGAGAGGAGAGUGGAAUUCCUAGUGUAGCGGUGAAAUGCGUAGAUAUUAGGAGGAACACCAGUAGCGAAGGCGGCUCUCUGGACUGUAACUGACGCUGAGGCACGAAAAGCGUGGGGAGGCAAACAGGAUUAGAUACCCCGGUA